UAGUCCACGCCGUAAACGAUGGUUACUAACUGUUCGGACUUCGGUCUGAGUGGCUAAGCGAAAGUGAUAAGUAACCCACCUGGGGAGUACGUUCGCAAGAAUGAAACUCAAAGGAAUUGACGGGGGCCCGCACAAGCGGUGGAGCAUGUGGUUUAAUUCGAUGAUACGCGAGGAACCUUACCAAGGCUUAAAUGCAUAUUGACAGUCCCGGAAACGGGAUUUUCUUCGGACAAUUUGCAAGGUGCUGCAUGGUUGUCGUCAGCUCGUGCCGUGAGGUGUCGGGUUAAGUCCCAUAACGAGCGCAACCCCUAUCUCUAGUUGCCAGCGGUUCGGCCGGGGACUCUAGAGAAACUGCCCGCGUAAGCGGUGAGGAAGGUGGGGACGAUGUUAAAUCAUCACGGCCCUUACGUCUUGGGCUACACACGUGCUGCAAUGGCAGGUACAGAGGGCUGCUACCAUGUGAAUGGAUGCUAAUCUUUAAAGCCUGUCUCAGUUCGGAUCGAAGUCUGCAACUCGACUUCG
rnacentral:rRNA from 1 species